AACGAACGCUGGCGGCGUGCCUAACACAUGCAAGUCGAGCGCGAAUGGGAGCAAUCCCUAGUAGAGCGGCGCACGGGUGCGUAACACGUGGGUAAUCUGCCUGGAAGAUCGGAAUAACCUGCCGAAAGGCAAGCUAAUACCGGAUAAGCCCACGGGGACUUCGGUUCCUGAGGGAAAAGGUGGCCUCUGUACACAAGCUAUCACUUCCAGAUGAGCCCGCGGCCCAUCAGCUAGUUGGCGGGGUAACGGCCCACCAAGGCAACGACGGGUAGCUGGUCUGAGAGGACGAUCAGCCACACUGGAACUGAGACACGGUCCAGACUCCUACGGGAGGCAGCAGUGGGGAAUUUUGCACAAUGGGCGAAAGCCUGAUGCAGCAACGCCGCGUGUGUGAUGAAGGUCUUCGGAUCGUAAAGCACUUUCGACCGGGACGAACACCCCUUGGCUAACAUCCAAGGGUCUGACGGUACCGGGAGAAGAAGCACCGGCUAACUCUGUGCCAGCAGCCGCCGUAACAC
rnacentral:rRNA from 1 species